rnacentral:lncRNA from 1 species
AUGGGAAGUGUGCAAGUGAUUGCUGCAGGAAACAGACUUGGAAGGAAAUCUGGGAGAGGCAAUGCAGCACCCAUCCUCGUGAGCAGAUCUCCUGAGGGCCUCGCUCUGUGGUUCCCAUGGAAGCAAACCUGGAGAGAGGGCACAGGCAGUGGUCACUUCCCCUUCAAGCAAAGCCCCAUCUUCCGGUCUCCUUCAACUCAAAGACCGCAGAAUUUGUCUGCGCAUCAAGAUGAGGGAGAGGGUUUGGGAAGGCCUAGCUCACCCGUUCUCGUGGACAAAGGCCUCCAACCUCUUCCCCAGAAGAAAUCAUCCGCAGAGUAAGCCAGGAGGACAGUGAUAAUACAGUGACCUGAAAUAAUUGCCACGUAAGUUUGCUUCUGAUGCAAGUUCAGUCUUUGCUGAGAGAUGCCCAGAGCUCGGCUGGCUCCACUGACAGCAGCAGGCAAGCUUCUCUUUUUCUGGCCCAGGAAAGAGGGGUGAGGACAGGCUCAGGAAGACAGGCCUAUGGACUCCCCCUGCCUUCUCGCUGCUUCCCCCAGGCAUGAGGCCAGGGCUCCGGCUAGGGAAGAGAUGGAUCAAUGUUUCACUCUCCUGAGAAGGCUGAGGAUGCUGGGGUGGCUGGCUGAUGGCAGUGGCCAUGGCAGGCCAGGGAGCAGGCCUGAGGGGACUGUCCUUCACCAAGAGAGUGACAAAGUGGGCAGAGGGCAAAGUGGCUUCAGAAGGGCAGAGGGCAGAGGGCUACUGGAUUAGAAAUCGCUCAGUAAGAAAUGCAAACUCCCAAGUAAUGACUAUUGAACGCAAGAAGCACACAAGAAAGAGGGGAAUGAUAAAGAAUUGUAAAAAUAUUCACGUGCAAGGGUUUCUUCUUUUUAGCAAGGCUUCUUGAAUAUUUUCUGCCCUGAGGCUCCCUGGGACCUGAGUCUUUAUUGUGGAUGAUUUGUUUGUUUGUUUACACCUUCCGCAGGCCAGCCCUGGGCAACACUCUGACAGCAGGACUCUGAGCUUCCCUGUCCUCCCAAGGGCCUAUAUCUAGGCUUGCACUGAGCUUCCUCAGUGACCUCCCUGUGCCCAGGGGACACCCAGCCCUGCACUGGAAGCCAGGUGGAUGUGCCCUUCACCCGUGGCCUUCUCCUGACCAUGUGGCGGCCUGGUAACCCUGUUCCCUGAGCCUGCCUGAAUGAGUGAGGACCAGCUCCAUUGCUACUAACAGAAAAAUGCAUGAGCUGCUAACCCAAAAGGAGAAUUGAUCAUAAGGAUCCAAGAGUGUUUCAUAUAUUUCAAGGGCUCAGGGCUGCUUGGCUUCAAACAGAGACUGGAACUGCUGAUGAUCAGCCUCUCUCACAGGUUUCUUUGCUGCUUCUCACAGGAAACGUGGUUUUAUUAAUUUCCUUUUUCCUCUGUCUUUACGAAAUGCCUCCUCCAUGAGUCCAUAUGGCAAACAAACAAAUUUUAAAAAAGCAAAACAAACGUGAAACAAAAGCAAAUAAGCACGACUCGCAGGGAAGCCCACAUUACUCAGCCAGCCAUCUCUAGUGAGAUUUUUUUGUGUAUUUGAAACUUCAAACGCCCCCUCAGAGGAUUGUUGACAGGGUUUUAUCAUGGGGCCUCCCUGCCCCAAGAAGGCGAAUGCAGACCAAUCCUGCGACCACGUGCAAGGGGAGAAGCAGGUCCUACAAAGAGGGCAAAAAACCAGAAAGCUUCCUCUCUUCUACCUUCGUCUACCAAGACCUGGUGCUGUUCCCAAGUGCAUGCCUGACCUGUGAGCUGAUUAGGGCUUCAAUCCUGUCACUGAUCAGCGAUCAGUGUCUCAGCGGGAUCGCUGGAAAAUUCCCCUGCACUGAGUCAGAGCUGCAGGAAGAGGCAAUUAACAUCCUACAAAUCAUAGCAACGAGCUAGAGAGCUAUGCCGAUGACCCUGAAUUGAGCUUGUUCUACAUGUGAUAAAAUUGAUUUUAAGUAAUAAAUAUCCACAAACUCAUUAUAGUUCUCUCCUUGGUCAGAUCUGCUUACUAGUACCUCCAGUUAUGUAGCCCCAUGUUUUCUUCAUUCCCUGAACUCUGUUGCUAUAAUUGUUUUACUUGCUGUUUUAAAAAUAUGCAAUUUUACUUUGUUGGGCAUAGUGAUUUUGUAAACCCACACACACAUAGGAUAUGUAGCGACAUGUUCAGAGGUAUUAAAACAGGUUUGCAUUUUAAAUCCAUGUUUAUCAUCUUUUAUGAGUGCUUAAUUUAUCAGUUUCUGCAGCUAUCAUUGUGAAUUUGUUGAUUGCUUUGUCAAAUUCUAAUGUUUUUUCUUCCUGUUUUCCCCUCAUCAAUGUUUAUUAGGACAUGUUGUAGAAACAGGC